AUUGAACGCUGGCGGCAGGCCUAACACAUGCAAGUCGAGCGGAUGAAGGGAGCUUGCUCCUGGAUUCAGCGGCGGACGGGUGAGUAAUGCCUAGGAAUCUGCCUGGUAGUGGGGGAUAACGUCCGUACACGGGCGCUAAUACCGCAUACGUCCUGAGGGAGAAAGUGGGGGAUCUUCGGACCUCACGCUAUCUGAUGAGCCUAGGUCGGAUUAGCUAGUCGGUGGGGUAAAGGCCUACCAAGGCGACGAUCCGUAACUGGUCUGAGAGGAUGAUCAGUCACACUGGAACUGAGACACGGUCCAGACUCCUACGGGAGGCAGCAGUGGGGAAUAUUGGACAAUGGGCGAAAGCCUGAUCCAGCCAUGCCGCGUGUGUGAAGAAGGUCUUCGGAUUGUAAAGCACUUUAAGUUGGGAGGAAGGGCAGUAAGUUAAUACCUUGCUGUUUUGACGUUACCAACAGAAUAAGCACCGGCUAACUUCGUG
rnacentral:rRNA from 1 species